UAAAUGUGAAGUGAUCUAAAAUGUUCAAUAUUAAUGAGUAUUUUCGCUGUGAAAUGAAUCUAAGGUCGUCUAAAAGUAUAUACAUGUGUAUUUGACCCGACUACUGACUACAUAGUAAACUAUUCAUUAUGUAUGUAUAAGGGGGUCUGAGCGGGACUCGGGAUUGUCGAGGCGUAUUUUUUGUUGUGCCGUGAAAAAGCGAAAUGAAGUUUAGCGGGACAUGGGAAAUUACAAAAAUAUCAGAAUUGUUCACUUAUAUAGUGUAAGCGUAAUGGCAUCAUGCGGGAAUCUAAAAAAAUAAAAAGUAACUAAGCGGGAUCCGUGAACAGAACCCCCAAUGAGACCCCCAUUAGUUGUGGCUUAUUUUGGUUCUUUUUAGUUCGUUUCUUUCCCCUACAUUACUUGACCGUUUUUGUAAAACAACAGCACUCGAGGACAAGAACUAUAGAAGGUACAGAGAAAUAAUAUACAGCAGAAAUGAUAGGCAAUGUAAAAUUUGCAGAAGCCAACUAAACCUAAAUGGUGAUCAGACAUCUCGGUUUUCAUGAUCAAUAGGUCAUUACUGAAGAGGAAACUUAAAGUUGAAAUUUAUUUACAUAGUGCAUAAUUGGAUUAAUUUGAAAUGGAAUGUGUGCUUUCCUGCAAAAAAGAAAUAGGAAAUUUCAACAUGUGAUAAUGACCAUAUAAAACAAAAUGGCGUUCUAUCAUAGAUACCCGAAAACACUAUUGCAUAAAAGCAACAACAUAUCUUAAUCAAAAGAGAGGAGAAUGCAGAACAAAUACUAUUUUGUUGUUGAAAAAAGGAACACCAGUUUUAUCCACUCAUUUACAUCGCUCCCUCAUAUCAAAUAUACAGAAGAAGAUCAUUGAAGAACAAUUUGCAAAAAUGAUUUCUCUUAGAAUUGAAGGGAAUUGUUUAGUGAAUGGAAUAAUGUAUUCACUGAAUUCUUACAUAGUGGAUUGAAUAACUGUACACAAGCUGAAACAGAAGAAAUUCUAAUUUAAAAUAACACGAAAAGUGUUUAUUUUAUUAUUUAAUCUGCAAAUAUAUAAAUAUUUUUUUUAGAACACCACAAAUGAUAUAAUGACAUUCAAAUUGGUUGCUUAUUAUUGUAUCGCAUUGAAACAAUUACAAAGAAAACAGAAGCAUUUGCUCGAAAAAAAUUAUAAAUCAAAGUGAAAUUUAUAUAAAAAGUAUAAACAAUACCUAGAUCUAA